rnacentral:rRNA from 1 species
AGAGCGAACGCUGGCGGCAUGCUUAACACAUGCAAGUCGCACGGGCAGGGGCAACUCUGUCAGUGGCGGACGGGUGAGUAACGCGUAGGUAUCUAUCCUUGGGUGGGGGACAACUGUGGGAAACUACAGCUAAUACCGCAUGAUGACCGAGGUCUAAAGGCGUCCGGGGUAACCUGGUGCGUCGCCUGAGGAGGAGCCUGCGUACGAUUAGCUAGUUGGUGGGUAAAGGCCUACCAAGGCGACGAUCGUUAGCUGGUCUGAGAGGAUGAUCAGCCACAUUGGGACUGAGACACGGCCCAAACUCCUACGGGAGGCAGCAGUGGGGGAAUAUUGGACAAUGGGCGCAAGCCUGAUCCAGCAAUGCCGCGUGUGUGAAGAAGGUCUUCGGAUUGUAAAGCACUUUCGACGGGGACGAUGAUGACGGUACCCGUAGAAGAAGCCCGGCUAACUUCGCGCCAGCAGCCGCGGU